AAUAGGACUCUAAAAGUCAACAACCUAAGUGGAUGAAUUGAUUCAUGGAAUAACAGAUCCUGGACACUUCAUUCGACAUAGAGAAGAUGAGAACACUCAAAUGGUUUUUGUUAUGUUUGGUUUCCCAUAUUCUUUGCUUGCUUAAUUUUCAUUAAUUUGUUUAGGUAACCUUAGUCAAUUGGUAACUGUCCUGUAGCAAAUCAUAUGUCAGAUUUUAAGCUUCAAAUUGGGGUUUAUGAAGCACCGCAUUUGAAGUCAUGAAAUUUGUUGUGGGUAUGCCAUUGACUCUAUUUUUCUUGCGUAUAUAUGGUAGCCAAUUAUCGUGACUCAGUGUAUAGCCUACGAAAGUUGUUGUAUGGUUCUUAUGCGUGUGACUAUACAAUGACUAAAAAAGCAUGCACAUUAGUUAUACGUCAGAUUAUGCAAGAAUAUAUAUAUGAGAAAUUAACAUGUUUCAAGCGUAUACAUGAUACAUAUAUGGUAUGUUCUUUGUUGUCGCAGAUGCAUUCCUCUUGAUACUUUAUGUGUUUGAACAUGGAUUCUUAGUUCCCACUAAUGUAUAGGCUAUACUUAUGUACUGAACUUUGGUUAUCGGGUUGUAGCAUAUUCUGGCAGCUAUAUUUGUGUGGGAAGAGACAACAGCAAAAGGCUGUACAAAAUGCUGACACCUCUAUUUGUGUGGGAAGAGACAAAGGUAAAAGAUAAAAGAGUACCAAAUGAGCCAAAUACAAGGUGAAGUGGAGACAUACCUUAGCUUGGACACUGUCUGCAAGGAAACCACAUAACAAUUGCAUGGAGAGCGGACACCCCUAGGAAUUUCAAACCACGAGCCGAAGUUGAGGG